rnacentral:rRNA from 1 species
CACGUAGGGGACGAGCGUUGUCCGGAUUCAUUGGGCGUAAAAGGGUGCGUAGGCGGCCGUGCAAGUCUGGCGUGAAAAGCCCCCGGGCUCAGCCCGGGAAGUGCGCUCGAAAACUGCGCGGCUCGAGUGCCGGAGGGGGAGAGGUGGAAUUCCUGGUGUAGAGGUGAAAAUUCGUAGAUAUCGGGAGGAACACCAGUGGCGAAGGCGCUGACCCUGGACGAUGAUUGACGCUGAGGCGCGAAAAGCGUGGGGGGGAGCAAAACAGGAUUAGAAA